AGCCAUUCGAAAGGUUAGGCUUAGGAUACCUUAACUUGCAGAAGGGGUCACAUAUAAUAAAAAAUAAAUUAAAAAAACAUACAUCAAAGAAAUACUGGACCUAAUCCAUAACUUCGGAGCUCUUAAAAGGCAAUUAGCAUACACACUAGCCUCUCCACAACAUCAGAGGAAGGGGGGCUAGUGGUGGAAUCUGGAGACCUUCUUACGAUGUAUGUCCCUCCAGCAAAUUGUCAUUUCUUUGGGGGACAACUCAUUUGACGAUCUUGCUGACUUUCAUGC